rnacentral:tRNA from 1 species
GGUCCCUUAGUUCAACGGAUAGAACGAAGGUUUCCUAAACCUUAAAUGCAGGUUCGAUUCCUGCAGGGACUA